CAGAGGGCUUUGCAAACUGGAAGAAAGAACAAGACAAAAGCACAGAUGAGAUAGGAAAGAGCUUUGCCCCAUAUUCCUGGUAAUCCCUGGAAAGCUGAAGGUACAGAACCCACGAAGAAACAGCACAGCUCAUCAACACAGGAGCCAGGACUAUGAGAUUUCCAAGGCCAAGGCACCAGUGCAUAACAGUAAGCUACUAUUCUUGCAUUACAUCCUGGUAACUACUGGCUGCUGGAAAAAGGAAGAUG
rnacentral:lncRNA from 1 species